rfam:Folsomia candida strain VT population Fcan01_Sc046, whole genome shotgun sequence.
UGGUUAGCCUAGUGGUAGGGUGCCUGUCUGGAUAACGGGAGACGCGUGGUUCGAUUCCACGCACCA